rnacentral:tRNA from 1 species
GGGGUUGUAGCUCAGUGGUCGAGCGCUUGCCUUGCAUGCAUGAAGUACUGGGUUUGAUCCUCAGCACCACA